rnacentral:rRNA from 1 species
UACGUAGGGUGCAAGCGUUAAUCGGAAUUACUGGGCGUAAAGCGUGCGCAGGCGGUGAUGUAAGACAGGUGUGAAAUCCCCGGGCUUAACCUGGGAACUGCAUUUGUGACUGCAUCGCUGGAGUGCGGCAGAGGGGGAUGGAAUUCCGCGUGUAGCAGUGAAAUGCGUAGAUAUGUGGAGGAACACCGAUGGCGAAGGCAGCCCCCUGGGUCAAGACUGACGCCCAUGCACGAAAGCGUGGGGAGCAAACAGG